UACGUAGGGAGCAAGCGUUGUUCGGAUUUACUGGGCGUAAAGGGCGCGUAGGCGGCGCGGUAAGUCACUUGUGAAAUCUCUGAGCUUAACUCAGAACGGCCAAGUGAUACUGCAGUGCUAGAGUGCAGAAAGGGCAAUCGGAAUUCUUGGUGUAGCGGUGAAAUGCGUAGAUAUCAAGAGGAACACCUGAGGCGAAGGCGGCGCUCUGGACCGAGACUGACGCUGAGGCGCGAAAGCGUGGGGAGCAAACAGG
rnacentral:rRNA from 1 species